UGUGGGAGCGAGCUUGCUCGCGAUAGCGUUGGUUCAGCCGCCUAUAGAUUGACUGAGACACCGCUAUCGCGAGCAAGCUCGCUCCCACA
rnacentral:misc_RNA from 1 species